rnacentral:rRNA from 1 species
UACGGGGGGAGCAAGCGUUGUUCGGAUUUACUGGGCGUAAAGGCGCGUAGGCGGCCAGCACAAGUCAGUUGUGAAAUCUCCGAGCUUAACUCGGAACGGUCAACUGAUACUGUGCGGCUAGAGUGCGGAAGGGGCAACUGGAAUUCUUGGUGUAGCGGUGAAAUGCGUAGAUAUCAAGAGGAACACCUGCGGCGAAGGCGGGUUGCUGGGCCGACACUGACGCUGAGGCGCGAAAGCUAGGGGAGCGAACGGG